rnacentral:sRNA from 1 species
GCCAAGCAGGUGUUCAGAGCUGAGAACGGUUGGAAAACUGGAUGGAAACAGCCGGGCCUCGAAGUGGGCAGUGGUGUGGCGAUUGAGGUGCUGACAGCUGAGCCAUUCCACACACCUUUGGGGCAAAGAAGUGCCGGAAGCCAGGGCCAAGUUCAAAGACCAAACAUUCUUUCCAAGGCGACCAGAAGCACCCUGGAGGGCUGGCUCCUAGUUACAUAAACCGCAGUCCCGUCCCACUGUCCCAGAGCUGUUGAGGAGACGCUGAGGAUUGAAAAGGUGCAGACCGUUCCUGCUCGUCUCCGACACAUUUCCCAGGACUCCCAGCUCCGCCUGUCAGCAAGGAAGGGUGCGAUCAGGGGUACUUGGGAGCAGGGGAGCCAAGCCUCUAGACACAGGCAAUGUCAAUAACAGCAACGGAUAACCAAGAGGAAUAAGCCAAACACGGACGGAGAAGGAUCAGGAUCAGUCCGGGCUGAGGAUGCAACGCUGGGUCUUGUGCUUAGCUGGUGCUCUAAUCCCUGAGCUGUAUUCCCUAGGCUGUACUUGAAUUAUCAGUAACUCUCAGAUGUCUGAACCCAUGAAUAAUGAAAGAGUUCAUGGAUAAAAUCUGUUUGCCACAGAAAGAAGAUAGACUAUGCUAACAACCAUCCCUGUAUCCAUGGGCUUUUCAGUGUGAUAUCGCAGCUCUUCCCAUUGUGAAAUGGACUCCAUUGUCUUACUCCUCAAUCUACAUGGGUCUUGUGGCAUUCUCUGGACGAUAAAGUAUGGAAAAAUAAUACUGGAUUUCAUCUCAAUCUAGACCUCAAGAGACCUUGUACAUACCCAUUUUCCAACUCAAGACCCUGUCCUUGCCAUAAGAACAAUCUAGAACACUGUCUGCCAGAGGAUACAAGUCUUUGUGGUGCCAAGUGGCUAUGUGCACCUUCUCAGUCCUAGAUGCAUAUGAAUGAGUCCAGCCAAGAUCAGGGAACUCUUUCAUUAAUGAGCAACAAUAAAUGGUUCUGUUGUUGCUGUUGUUGUUGUUAUUUUGAGCCAUUACCUCGAACUCACCACAUAAAGGAGAAUGAUUUUCUGAAACUCCUGUCUCCUGCUGGUAUCACCAUGCCCUGUUUUAGUAAGUGGUGCUGGGUUAUUGUGUGUGACAGGUAAGUGGUGCUGGGUUAUUGUGUGUGACAGGCAAACACUCGGCCGGCCACCUGAGCUAUAUCAUCAGACUGGUGCUAAUUAUUUGAAGUUAGUACAUUUUUGGAAGUGUGGCUAUAUGGUGGGAACUAACCAGUGUUCGACCUAACAGACAGAAGGGUUUUCACCUGUUCCAUUCACCACUUUAUUUGAAAGACUUUGAACAAUGUGUGACGUAAGCAAGUUCUAGCACAUAUAUGGCUGGCACUCCUGAAUAUUUAAGUAUUUGAGGAAUGGAUGAAAUAACAGGUGGGAAUUGCUUCAGGCGUUUGGUGAUGUUCAAUAAACAUUAGCACUCAAUGGGGUGACAAUGCUUAUUAAUGGAUUGACAUCUUUUUCUUCAUAUAAAACUAGGCAAUUUAUGUAAAACUAGGAAUGUAACCUUAAGAUCAGUUAAUGAAGCAAUCCUGACUUUCAGAAAACCCAACAUGGGCUAGAGAGAUGGCUCAGCAG